rnacentral:rRNA from 1 species
CAGUCGCCACGGGAAUACGUAGGGUGCGAGCGUUAAUCGGAAUUACUGGGCGUAAAGCGUGCGCAGGCGGUUGUGUAAGACGGGUGUGAAAUCCCCGGGCUUAACCUGGGAACUGCGCUUGUGACUGCACAGCUAGAGUAUGGCAGAGGGGGGUGGAAUUCCACGUGUAGCAGUGAAAUGCGUAGAGAUGUGGAGGAACACCGAUGGCGAAGGCAGCCCCCUGGGCCAAUACUGACGCUCAUGCACGAAAGCGUGGGGAGCAAACAGGAUUAGAUACCCGAGUAGUCCCUGUCUCUUAUAC